rnacentral:rRNA from 1 species
CCCUUAGAUGUUCUGGGCUGCACGCGUGCUACAAUGGCGUUUCCAGCAAGUCUGCGAACCCGAGAGGGCCAGCGGAUCUUCGAAUUGGGGUCGUGAUCGGGACAGUCGAUUGCAAUUAUUUGACUCAAACGAGGAAUUCCUUGUAAUCGCGAUUCAUCAUAUCGCGCUGAAUACGUCCCUGCCCUUUGUACACACCGCCCGUCGCUCCUACCGAUUGAGCGAUCCGGUAAAUGUUUUGGAUUGGUGCCGGGGCGGCUAGCUGCCGGUCGCUACGAAAUUUUGUGAACCUUAUCGCUUAGAGGAAGGAAAAGUCGUAACA